rfam:Schistosoma rodhaini strain Burundi genome assembly, scaffold: SROB_scaffold0004850
AUCCAGACGACGAGUUCUAAAUAGGACGAAACGCACCUCAAACUGGAU